GCGGUGGAGUAUGUGGUUUAAUUCGACGCAACGCGCAGAACCUUACCUAGACUUGACAUCCCGGGGAUUUUCUGGAAACAGAGAAGUGCUUUAGCAAUAAAGAACCCGGUGACAGGUGCUGCAUGGCUGUCGUCAGCUCGUGUCGUGAGAUGUUGGGUUAAGUCCCGCAACGAGCGCAACCCUCGCCUUUAGUUGCCAGCAUUCAGUUGGGCACUCUAGAGGGACUGCCGGUGUCAAACCGGAGGAAGGUGGGAUGACGUCAAGUCCUCAUGGCCUUUAUGUCUAGGGCUACACACGUACUACAAUGGCCGGUACAAAGGGCAGCCACUCAGCGAUGAGGCGCUAAUCCCAUAAAGCCGGUCUCAGUCCGGAUCGCAGUCUGCAACUCGACUGCGUGAAGUUGGAAUCGCUAGUAAUCGUAGAUCAGCAUGCUACGGUGAAUACGUUCCCGGGCCUU
rnacentral:rRNA from 1 species